rnacentral:rRNA from 1 species
UACGUAGGGUGCAAGCGUUGUCCGGAAUUAUUGGGCGUAAAGAGCUCGUAGGCGGCUUGUCGCGUCGGCUGUGAAACCCUGGGGCUCAACCCUGAGCGUGCUUCCGAUACGGGCAGACUAGAGGUAUGCAGGGGAGAACGGAAUUCCUGGUGUAGCGGUGAAAUGCGCAGAUAUCAGGAGGAACACCAGUGGCGAAAGCGGCCACCUGGACUGCACCUGACGCUGACACGCGAAAGCUAGGGGAGCGAACGGG